rnacentral:rRNA from 1 species
ACUGACAGCCAUGGUUACCGCGGCUGCUGGCACGGAGUUAGCCGGUGCUUCUUCUGCGAGUAACGUCACAGAUGUAAGGUAUUAACUUACACCCUUUCCUCCUCGCUGAAAGUGCUUUACAACCCGAAGGCCUUCUUCACACACGCGGCAUGGCUGCAUCAGGGUUUCCCCCAUUGUGCAAUAUUCCCCACUGCUGCCUCCCGUAGGAGUCUGGGCCGUGUCUCAGUCCCAGUGUGGCUGAUCAUCCUCUCAGACCAGCUAGGGAUCGUCGCCUAGGUGAGCCUUUACCUCACCUACUAGCUAAUCCCACCUGGGCUUAUCCAUCAGCGCAAGGCCCGAAGGUCCCCUGCUUUCCCCCGUAGGGCGUAUGCGGUAUUAGCAGUCGUUUCCAACUGUUAUCCCCCACAAAUGGGCAAAUUCCCAGGCAUUACUCACCCGUCCGCCGCUCGUCAUCUUCAAAAGCAAGCUUUUGAAAUGUUACCGCUCGACUUGCAUGUGUUAGGCCUGCCGCCAGCGUUCAAU